AUGUCCUUAGUUAAUCACCUAUUUGUAUUUUAGGAGCAGUGUGUAUUUCUCUCAUUCAGCCAUGUAUUCACUUAAUGACUACAUAAUGAAUGCCUUCUGUGCCAAGGAAUAUAACUACUCAUUUAUUAACACCAAGUCCUGAAGAUACGGCAUUCUUUUACUCAAUUUUCAUGAUCAUCACAUACCUUAGUGAAAAAUUAAAAUCAUGAUGUUUCAGUUAAGGAACCUAAGAUGCUGUGCUUAACAAAAUUGCUGAAGUUACCACAAAUGUAAGUAAAAGACCAGGAUUAAACUAUCCAGGUAGGUUUGAGUCCAACCCAGUGUUUUUUCCACAGUUCCAAUGUUAGAGUAUUUCAAGGUGAUCAAGGUAUGACUCAAAUGGGGAGCUUUUAAAAUUAUACAUACUUAAACUGCAUCCUUGUGAUACUCUUAUACUAUUAUUAAAAUAUACUUCAUUUUGGCCAGGCACGAUGGCUCAUGCCUAUAAUUCCAGCACUUUUGGAGGCCGAGGCAGGUGGAUCACAUGGUCAGGAGCUCAAGACCAGCCUGGCCAAGAUGCUUUAUAACAGUCAUGCUGUCAAGGACCUCCAGCUAAAACCACCAAAGAAACAGGCUUUCCAGACUGCAGAAAAAACUUCUUCUGAAGACUUGAUGAGACACACACAGUCACUGCCUGAGCUUUCUGCCCCUGAAUAAAGAUAUCUUCUUAUAGGGUCUGAAUUAGAUUUCACAAUGGAAUUCAUCAGCAAAUAUUGGUGUCUACAUCUUUAAAAUGUGUCUGGAUUCUAAUCCUCACGAUUUCAACCACAACCUCCAUUGCCAGAGCCACCAUCAUCUCUCACCUCAAUUAUAGCAACAGCUUCUAACUGCUCUGUCAGUUUCUGCUUCUUCCCCAACAUUCCAUUCUCAAAACAGCAACCAAAGUGUUCCAUUAAAAAUAUCAUUGGAUCAG